GAUCCUGGCUCAGGAUGAACGCUGGCGGCGUGCCUAACACAUGCAAGUCGAACGGAAACCAGACGCUUCGGAGACUUCGGUCAAUGUUUGUCUGGUUUAGUGGCGGACGGGUGAGUAACGCGUGGAUAACCUGCCCCAUACAGGGGGAUAACAGUUAGAAAUGACUGCUAAUACCGCAUAAGCGCACGGGACCGCAUGAUCCUGUGUGAAAAACUCCGGUGGUAUGAGAUGGAUCCGCGUCUGAUUAGCUAGUUGGCGGGGUAACAGCCCACCAAGGCGACGAUCAGUAGCCGGCCUGAGAGGGUGAACGGCCACAUUGGGACUGAGACACGGCCCAAACUCCUACGGGAGGCAGCAGUGGGGGAUAUUGCACAAUGGGGGAAACCCUGAUGCAGCCGACGCCGCGUGAGUGAAGAAGUAUUUCGGUAUGUAAAGCUCUAUCAGCAGGGAAGAUAAUGACGGUACCUGACUAAGAAGCACCGGCUAAAUACGUGCCAGCCGCUGC
rnacentral:rRNA from 1 species